ACCAGAAGUGGCUAGUCUAACCGCAAGGAGGACGGUCACCACGGUAGGAUUCAUGACUGGGGUGAAGUCGUAACAAGGUAGCCGUAUCGGAAGGUGCGGCUGGAUCACCUCCUUUCCAGAGCUUCUCGCAAAAUUGAGCGCUCACGCUUAUCGGCUGUUGGUCAAGACAGA
rnacentral:rRNA from 1 species